GACUAGCGAGAUGACACAACGCUUUUGUGUGGGACUGGAGCCCCUCAGCCAAUCUUAACUAGUGCAUAUCUCCUCUCGCUCCGUGGUGAUCCACAGGGAACGCCUGCUUUCCCUGAACCUGGUUUAUUAAAGAGAGCUGAAAUGAAGCAGUAAGGGAGAGAAGCACACAAACGCACACUGAGAGAGAGGGAGAGUGAGAGCACAAGUGCGUGAGGGAGAGAGAGGGGGAGAGCAGGAGCCUUCACACUCUGAUGUUGUGUGAGGACGUGCUUUUAUUUCAUUUGACUCUCCUUUUCAUCUCCCAGCUGGAGAAGUGAAGACUGAGAACGGCUGACAGAAUGAGGAUUGAUGCAGGGAAAUGAAAAGAAAAAAAAAGGAAAAAUCAGAGCACCACUGAAGCACGAGAAGAAGAAAAAAAUUAGAAACAGAAGCUGCUGAAGGCUGGGAGAAACUACGAAUCACCACAUCAGCGAUGAUGACUCCCAGAGUGAUGCCACAGCCUCUGGGCAAUGAUAGCACUCUGAUGUCAGCAGUUUUAACAAAAAAAAAGUAAUAAAAAUGAAACAAGGAAGGAAAAA